AAACCAUUAUGUGGGCAAUUUUUUACUAGCUUCUUAAAUCUCUUCCAAGCUUCACUCAAUAUUUCCCAAUUCUUCUGUUGAAAAUUUGUGAUUUCUCGCUACCUCU